UACGUAGCAGCAAGCGUUGUUCGGAAUUACUGGGCGUAAAGAGUGUGUAGGCGGUUCUCUAAGUUCCGUGUGAAAUCUCCCGGCUUAACUGGGAGGGUGCGCGGAAGACUGGAGGGCUGGAGUAUGGGAGAGGAAAGCGGAAUUCCUGGUGUAGCGGUGAAAUGCGUAGAUAUCAGGAGGAACACCGGUGGCGAAGGCGGGUCUCUGGGCCGAUACUGACGCUGGAGGAGCGAAAGCGUGGGGAGCGAACAGG
rnacentral:rRNA from 1 species